UUAUAUCAAUGUGUGAUAAGUCAGAGAUUUUGAACUCAUUUGAGGCUUAUAGUUCACUAAAUAGUAUCAUUAAUGCUUGUUUAUAUCCAUUUUCGAUGUUAAAUUGCUUGACUUUUAGCUAUGAGAGCUCAAGGACAAAACAAAGACAAAUAGAAGAAAAAAGAAGUCAAUUGCCAAAAAUAUUGGAGAACUCUACUACAAAUGGAAGC
rnacentral:lncRNA from 1 species